rnacentral:rRNA from 1 species
AUUGAACGCUGGCGGCAGGCCUAACACAUGCAAGUCGAGCGGAUGAAGGGAGCUUGCUCCUGGAUUCAGCGGCGGACGGGUGAGUAAUGCCUAGGAAUCUGCCUGGUCGUGGGGGAUAACGUCCGGAAACGGGCGCUAAUACCCCAUCCGUCCUGAGGGAGAAAGUGGGGGAUCUUCGGACCUCAUGCCAACAGAUGAGCCUAGGUCGGAUUAGCUAGUUGGUGGGGUAAAGGCCUACCAAGGCGACGAUCCGUAACUGGUCUGAGAGGAUGGUCAGUCACCCUGGAACUGAGACACGGUCCAGACUCCUACGGGAGGCAGCAGUGGGGACUAUUGGACAAUGGGCGAAAGCCUGAUCCAGCCCUGCCGCGUGUGUGAAGAAGGUCUUCGGAUUCUAAAGCACUUUAAGUUGGGGGGAAGGGCAGUAAGUUAAUACCUUGCUGUUUUGACGUUACCAGCAGAAUAAGCACCGGCUAACUUCGUG